rnacentral:rRNA from 1 species
UGGGGAAUAUUGCACAAUGGGCGCAAGCCUGAUGCAGCCAUGCCGCGUGUGUGAAGAAGGCCUUCGGGUUGUAAAGCACUUUCAGCGAGGAGGAAGGUGGUGAGCUUAAUACGCUCAUCAAUUGACGUUACUCGCAGAAGAAGCACCGGCUAACUCCGUGCCAGCAGCCGCGGUAAUACGGAGGGUGCAAGCGUUAAUCGGAAUUACUGGGCGUAAAGCGCACGCAGGCGGUUUGUUAAGUCAGAUGUGAAAUCCCCGGGCUCAACCUGGGAACUGCAUUUGAAACUGGCAAGCUAGAGUCUCGUAGAGGGGGGUAGAAUUCCAGGUGUAGCGGUGAAAUGCGUAGAGAUCUGGAGGAAUACCGGUGGCGAAGGCGGCCCCCUGGACGAAGACUGACGCUCAGGUGCGAAAGCGUGGGGCAGCAAACAGGAUUAGAUACCCUGGUAGUCCAGCGCUGUAAACGAUGUCGAUUUGGAGGUUGUGCCCUUGAGGCGUGGCUUCCGGAGCUAACGCGUUAAAUCGACCGCCUGGGGAGUACGGCCGCAAGGUUAAAACUC